AGCGAACGCUGGCGGCAGGCCUAACACAUGCAAGUCGAACGAACUCUUCGGAGUUAGUGGCGGACGGGUGAGUAACACGUGGGAACGUGCCUUUUGGUUCGGAAUAACUCAGGGAAGCUUGUGCUAAUACCGAAUGUGCCCUUCGGGGGAAAGAUUUAUCGCCAUUAGAGCGGCCCGCGUCUGAUUAGCUAGUUGGUGAGGUAACGGCUCACCAAGGCGACGAUCAGUAGCUGGUCUGAGAGGAUGACCAGCCACACUGGGACUGAGACACGGCCCAGACUCCUACGGGAGGCAGCAGUGGGGAAUCUUGCGCAAUGGGCGAAAGCCUGACGCAGCCAUGCCGCGUGAAUGAUGAAGGUCUUAGGAUUGUAAAAUUCUUUCACCGGGGACGAUAAUGACGGUACCCGGAGAAGAAGCCCCGGCUAACUUCGU
rnacentral:rRNA from 1 species